CUUGGUCAUUUAGAGGAAGUAAAAGUCGUAACAAGGUUUCCGUAGGUGAACCUGCGGAAGGGUCAUUAUCGUACAAAAUGUGUAGAGGCAUGCAAAGGGCUGUCGCUGACUUUUGAUGCAAAAGUUGUGCACGCCGGAGCAUGUCCUCUCACAUUAAAUCCAUCUCACCCUUUUGUGCACCACCGCGUGGGCACCCUUUGGGAUCGAACCGAUCUUGGAGGGGGCCUGCGUUUUCACACAAACCCCCCCUUUUAAAAAGUGUAGAAUGACCCCACUUUGCGGUGACACGCAAUCAAUACAACUUUCAACAACGGAUCUCUUGGCUCUCGCAUCGAUGAAGAACGCAGCGAAAUGCGAUAAGUAAUGUGAAUUGCAGAAUUCAGUGAAUCAUCGAAUCUUUGAACGCACAUUGCGCCCCUUGGUAUUCCGGGGGGCAUGCCUGUUCGAGCGUCAUUACAACCCUCAAGCUCUGCUUGGUGUUGGGCGUCACCAGCCUUGGUGUGCCCUAAAAUCAGUGGCGGCGCCGUCUGGCUCUAAGCGUAGUACAUACUCUCGCUAUGGACGCCUGGCGGAUGCUUGCCAGCAAACCCCUAAUUUAUCAAGGUUGACCUCGGAUCAGGUAGGGAUACCCGCUGAACUUAAGCAUAUCAAUAAGCGGAGGA
rnacentral:rRNA from 1 species